GAUGAACGCUGGCGGCGCGCCUAACACAUGCAAGUCGAACGAUUAAAGCACCUUCGGGUGUGUAUAAAGUGGCGAACGGCUGAGUAACACGUGGGCAACCUGCCCCUCUCAUUGGGAUAGCCACGGGAAACCGUGGAUAAUACCGAAUACUUCGGGACUUCCGCAUGGAAGACUCGAGAAAGCUCCGGCGGAGAGGGAUGGGCCCGCGGCCUGUUAGCUUGUUGGUGGGGUAAUGGCCUACCAAGGCAAUGAUGGGUAGCUGGGUUGAGAGACCGACCAGCCAGAUUGGGACUGAGACACGGCCCAGACUCCUACGGGAGGCAGCAGUGGGGAAUCUUGCACAAUGGGCGAAAGCCUGAUGCAGCGACGCCGCGUGCGGGAUGAAGGCCUUCGGGUUGUAAACCGCUUUCAGCAGGGACGAGGCGAAAGUGACGGUACCUGCAGAAGAAGCCCCGGCUAACUAC
rnacentral:rRNA from 1 species